UACGGAGGGUGCGAGCGUUGUCCGGAAUCACUGGGCGUAAAGGGCGCGUAGGCGGCCGCGUAUGUCCGGUGUGAAAGCCCACCUCUUAAAGGUGGAAUUGCAUCGGAAACUACGUGGCUGGAGUGUCGGAGAGGAUGGUGGAAUUCCUGGUGUAGAGGUGAAAUUCGUAGAUAUCAGGAGGAACACCGGUGGCGAAGGCGGCCAUCUGGACGACUACUGACGCUGAGGCGCGAAAGCGUGGGGAUCAAACAGG
rnacentral:rRNA from 1 species